rnacentral:misc_RNA from 1 species
GGAAGGAUCAUUACCGAGUGUAGGGUUCCUAGCGAGCCCAACCUCCCACCCGUGUUUACUGUACCUUAGUUGCUUCGGCGGGCCCGCCGUCAUGGCCGCCGGGGGCGUUCAGCCCCGGGCCCGCGCCCGCCGGAGACACCACGAACUCUGUCUGAUCUAGUGAAGUCUGAGUUGAUUGUAUCGCAAUCAGUUAAAACUUUCAACAAUGGAUCUCUUGGUUCCGGCAUCGAUGAAGAACGCAGCGAAAUGCGAUAACUAGUGUGAAUUGCAGAAUUCCGUGAAUCAUCGAGUCUUUGAACGCACAUUGCGCCCCCUGGUAUUCCGGGGGGCAUGCCUGUCCGAGCGUCAUUGCUGCCCAUCAAGCACGGCUUGUGUGUUGGGUCGUCGUCCCCUCUCCGGGGGGGACGGGCCCCAAAGGCAGCGGCGGCACCGCGUCCGAUCCUCGAGCGUAUGGGGCUUUGUCACCCGCUCUGUAGGCCCGGCCGGCGCUUGCCGAACGCAAAACAAUCUUUCCAGGUUGACCUCGGAUCAGGUAGGGAUACCCGCUGAACUUAAGCAUAUCAAUAAGCGGAGGAAAAGAAACCAACCGGGAUUGCCUCAGUAACGGCGAGUGAAGCGGCAAGAGCUCAAAUUUGAAAGCUGGCUCCUUCGGGGUCCGCAUUGUAAUUUGCAGAGGAUGCUUCGGGUGCGGCCCCUGUCUAAGUGCCCUGGAACGGGCCGUCAGAGAGGGUGAGAAUCCCGUCUGGGAUGGGGUGUCCGCGCCCGUGUGAAGCUCCUUCGACGAGUCGAGUUGUUUGGGAAUGCAGCUCUAAAUGGGUGGUAAAUUUCAUCUAAAGCUAAAUACUGGCCGGAGACCGAUAGCGCACAAGUAGAGUGAUCGAAAGAUGAAAAGCACUUUGAAAAGAGAGUUAAAAAGCACGUGAAAUUGUUGAAAGGGAAGCGCUUGCGACCAGACUCGCCUCCAGGGUUCAGCCGGCAUUCGUGCCGGUGUACUUCCCUGGGGGCGGGCCAGCGUCGGUUUGGGCGGCCGGUCAAAGGCUCCCGGAAUGUAGUGCCCUCCGGGGCACCUUAUAGCCGGGAGUGCAAUGCGGCCAGCCUGGACCGAGGAACGCGCUUCGGCACGGACGCUGGCAUAAUGGUCGUAAACGACCCGUCUUGAAACACGGACCAAGGAGUCUAACAUCUACGCGAGUGUUCGGGUGUCAAACCCGUACGCGCAGUGAAAGCGAACGGAGGUGGGAGCCCCCUCGUGGGGCGCACCAUCGACCGAUCCUGAUGUCUUCGGAUGGAUUUGAGUAAGAGCGUAAAUGUGGGGACCCGAAAGAUGGUGAACUAUGCCUGAAUAGGGCGAAGCCAGAGGAAACUCUGGUGGAGGCUCGCAGCGGUUCUGACGUGCAAAUCGAUCGUCAAAUUUGGGUAUAGGGGCGAAAGACUAAUCGAACCAUCUAGUAGCUGGUUCCUGC